rnacentral:rRNA from 1 species
UACGGGGGGAGCAAGCGUUGUUCGGAUUUACUGGGCGUAAAGGGCGCGUAGGCGGUCGUGACAAGUCACUUGUGAAAUCUCCGGACUUAACUCGGAACGGUCAAGUGAUACUGUCGGACUAGAGUACAGAAGGGGCAACUGGAAUUCUCGGUGUAGCGGUGAAAUGCGUAGAGAUCCGGAGGAACACCAGAGGCGAAGGCGGCCUACUGGGCUGCACCUGACGCGUGAGCCGCGAAAGCCAGGGGAGCGAACGGG